ACGGAAGGCAGCAGUGGGGAAUAUUGCACAAUGGAGGAAACUCUGAUGCAGCAACGCCGCGUGAAGGAUGAAGGUCUUCGGAUCGUAAACUUCAAAAGCCAGGGAAGAUGAUGACGGUACCUGGCGUUAAGCCCCGGCUAACUACGUGCCAGCAGCCGCGGUAAUACGUAGGGGGCGAGCGUUAUCCGGAAUUAUUGGGCGUAAAGAGUGCGUAGGUGGUUACCUAAGCAGGGGGUGAAAGGCAUUGGCUUAACCAAUGUUAGCCCCCUGAACUGGGCUACUUGAGUGCAGGAGAGGAAAGCGGAACUCCAUGUGUAGCGGUGAAAUGCGUAGAUAUAUGGAAGAACACCAGUGGCGAAGGCGGCUUUCUGGACUGUUACUGACACUGAGGCACGAAAGUGUGGGGAGCAAACAGGAUUAGAUACCCUGGUA
rnacentral:rRNA from 1 species